GUCGAGCGGAAGGCCCUUUCGGGGGUACUCGAGCGGCGAACGGGUGAGUAACACGUGGGUAACCUGCCUUCAGCUCUGGGAUAAGCCCGGGAAACUGGGUCUAAUACCGGAUAUGACGCAUCACCGCAUGGUGUGUGUGUGGAAAGUUUUUCGGCUGAAGAUGGACUCGCGGCCUAUCAGCUUGUUGGUGGGGUAAUGGCCUACCAAGGCGAUGACGGGUAGCCGGCCUGAGAGGGCGACCGGCCACACUGGGACUGAGACACGGCCCAGACUCCUACGGGAGGCAGCAGUGGGGAAUAUUGCGCAAUGGGCGAAAGCCUGACGCAGCAACGCCGCGUGAGGGAUGACGGCCUUCGGGUUGUAAACCUCUUUCAGCGCUGACGAAGCUUUCGGGUGACGGUAGGCGCAGAAGAAGCACCGGCUAACUACGUGCCAGCAGCCGCGGUAAUACGUAGGGUGCGAGCGUUGUCCGGAAUUAUUGGGCGUAAAGGGCUCGUAGGCGGUUUGUCACGUCUGCUGUGAAAGCCCGGGGCUUAACCCCGGGUCUGCAGUGGAUACGGGCAGGCUAGAGUUCGGCAGGGGAGACUGGAAUUCCUGGUGUAGCGGUGGAAUGCGCAGAUAUCAGGAGGAACACCGGUGGCGAAGGCGGGUCUCUGGGCCGAUACUGACGCUGAGGAGCG
rnacentral:rRNA from 1 species